CAUUCCAAAGUCGAAUGUGUUGGUCCCAUUGGUCCCAUUGAUCCUUAUUUAACAUAAUUUUUCACCGAUUGACCAAAAUGAUUGAUGGUGGACAAUCUCAAGAACCACUUCUAUUGAUUUCAAAUCUCAGGGACCAAAAUGAGGAGUUAGGCAAAUCUCAUUUUGGCCAAAAAGCCUUAAAAGAAUUUAAAAAAAAAAUUAACAUUCUAUUAAUAUAGCACUAGCACCCUUCUCUCUUCCAUCUUCCUCCGCCGCCUCAGUCUGCAAUACCAAAAACCAAGCAUUUUCUGACUCAGGAGUCACCUCCAUCUACACCAAAACAUCUAUCCUCCACCUAACAACCAUAUCAUGCUCCACCCUUCAUCACUCAACUAAAAUCUCGAUUUGGCACCAUCAUCUUCUGUCAUGUUGCUUCAUCAUCAUGAUUUGAGUUUUUCAUGGAUAUGCUAUUAUUUCCUUUAAUUUUUUGUUUCUUUGGUUUUUUUUUUAAAACCUCUGUGCAGAUCACUGGUUUUGGGAUUUAGCUAAUCGAGUCUUUCAGUGGCAUAUAGGGCGCUCACGACGGAGGUGGAGUCGUUGAUUCAAUGGGAAGAGGACAUGGUGGGGCCGAAUCUAGGGCGGCAAUGGUUUUUGUAGAGGGCUCGGAGGAAUCGGAGGGAGAGGAAGGCAGGGGAAAGGGUGAUGAGAAUGAGGCAUAUUUUUUAAAAAUAAAAUAUUCGUUUAUUGAUUGUAUAAAGGAAUAAACUAUUUAAAUUUAGUAGGGCAGAUGGCGUUACUUGAUUGGAAGGGAACACCACCUGCUAAUGAUGGGGUGGGGUUCAGAUUGUUCGAAAAAUUCAUCUACUCACAUUAUUAUAGGAUAGUUUGGAAUUGUGGUGCUUUUAAUAAAAACAGCUUAAUAAAAUAUCAGGAACAUUAAAUGUGUUUGGUAAAACA
rnacentral:lncRNA from 1 species